AACGGACGCAAGUCUGAUGGAGCAACGCCGCGUGAGUGAAGAAGGGCUUCGGCUCGUAAAGCUCUGUUGGUAGUGAAGAAAGAUAGAGGUAGUAACUGGCCUUUAUUUGACGGUAAUUACUUAGAAAGUCACGGCUAACUACGUGCCAGCAGCCGCGGUAAUACGUAGGUGGCAAGCGUUGUCCGGAUUUAUUGGGCGUAAAGCGAGUGCAGGCGGUUCAAUAAGUCUGAUGUGAAAGCCUUCGGCUCAACCGGAGAAUUGCAUCAGAAACUGUUGAACUUGAGUGCAGAAGAGGAGAGUGGAACUCCAUGUGUAGCGGUGGAAUGCGUAGAUAUAUGGAAGAACACCAGUGGCGAAGGCGGCUCUCUGGUCUGCAACUGACGCUGAGGCUCGAAAGCAUGGGUAGCGAACAGGAUUAGAUACCCUGGUAGUCCAUGCCGUAAACGAUGAGUGCUAAGUGUUGGGAGGUUUCCGCCUCUCAGUGCUGCAGCUAACGCAUUAAGCACUCCGCCUGGGGAGUACGACCGCAAGGUUGAAACUCAAAGGAAUUGACGGGGGCCCGCACAAGCGGUGGAGCAUGUGGUUUAAAUUCGAAGCAAUGCGAAGAACCUUACCA
rnacentral:rRNA from 1 species